GAGGGUAUAGCUCAGUAGUAGAGGGCGUGCUUAGCAUGCAUGAAGUCCUGGGUUCAAUCCCCAGCACCUCCA
rnacentral:tRNA from 1 species